rnacentral:rRNA from 1 species
AGGUUGGGGUGACCUCGGAGUACAAAAUAACCUCCGAGUGAUUUAAAUCAAGACUUACCAGUCAAAAAUAAUACAUCAUUUAUUGAUCCAAAAAAUAAUUUGAUCAACGGAACAAGUUACCCUAGGGAUAACAGCGC